GCAAGGAUGGUUUCCUCACAACCAUACAGCAUGUGUUACAUAAACAGUUUUCAAUUAGUGUGUUCUAAAUUGAAUUACAAAUAUUUAACUAAAAAAAUUAAGGAAAGAACAAAGACAACUUACAAAGGGUUGGGUCCCUAAAAUUGCACAAACCAGUGACUUAGAGCUUAAUUUUUACUUUAAUUUAGUUUUUUUAAAUAAUUUUUUUUAAGAGGUAGGGCUUACCCG
rnacentral:lncRNA from 1 species